rnacentral:lncRNA from 1 species
AUGUGGAGGGAGCUCAGAGGUUGUCCUGGAGGAGACGUGGAGACAGCUCAGAGGCUGUCCCGGAGAAGACGUGGAAAGAGCUCAGAGGCUGUCCCAGAGAAGACGUGGAGAGCUCAGAGGAUGUCCCAAACAAGAGAGAGCUCAGAGGCUGUCCCAGAGAAGACGUGGAGAGAGUUCAGAGGCUGUCCCGGAGAAGACGUGGAAAGAGCUCAGAAACUCAGAGACUGUCCCGGAGAAGACAUGGAAACAGCUCAGACGCUGUCUGCAAGAAGACGUGCAGAGAGUUCAGAGGCUGUCCCGGAGAAGACAUGGAGAGAGCUCAAAGGCUGUCCACAAGAAGAUGUGGAGAGAGUUCAGAGGCUGUCGUUACUGCUGCACUUGGCUGUUUUUCUUUGGAUAAUUAUUGCCAUCAAUUUUAGUAAUUCAGGUGUUAAAUCACAGUCAAGCACCUAUUUACCUAGUGGUGAGUUCCUUUAU